AAGUAAAUGUUCAGAGUUGAUGUUUCAUCCAUUUAAACAGUCAGAAUCGAUUCUAUACGGAAUAUUAAAGUGUUUCAUAGGAACUAAGCCAUGAUUUUCGUGUAGCUGCUUCAUAGAAAGGCGGUGGAUUUUGUGAAUCUGUGUAAAUAAGAGUCAGUGCUGCAGAUCAGAUUCUGUUUCAUCAUGGAGGACACACAAACAUCCACAGAUCAAGAGUUUUCUCCAGGAUGCAGUUCAGUUCAUCAGAAGAGAUCAGGAGCAGAGUCCAGCUGUGUGUCUGUGAGGAGUGAUGCGUCUAUGAAUCGUAUGAUAUUGUUU